rfam:Pestalotiopsis fici W106-1 unplaced genomic scaffold PFICI_Scf_8, whole genome shotgun sequence.
ACAUACGACCAUACAUACUAGAAUAUACGGCAUCCCGUCCGCUCUGCCCUAGUCAAACUAGUAAUGGCCGGAUUAGUACUCAGAUCGGUGACGGCUGGGGAAUACCUGGUGUUGUAUGUU